UACGGAGGAGGCAAGCGUUAUCCGGAAUUAUUGGGCGUAAAGCGUCCGCAGGUGGCGAUUCAAGUCUGCGGUUAAAGACUGGGGCUUAACCCUGGAAAGGCCGUGGAAACUGAAACGCUAGAGUGCAGUAGGGGUAGAGGGAAUUCCCGGUGUAGCGGUGAAAUGCGUAGAGCUCGGGAAGAACAUCGGUGGCGAAAGCGCUCUGCGGGACUGCAACUGACACUCAGGGACGAAAGCUAGGGGAGCGAAUGGG
rnacentral:rRNA from 1 species